rnacentral:rRNA from 1 species
UUCUGAGUGUAAAGUUGUAUUUCCAGAUUAGUAAUAGUUAUGUUCUUGAAAAUUAAAAGAUUUGGCGGUAUUUUAGUCCAUUCAGAGGAACUUGUCCUGUAAUUGAUAUUCCACGAUUUAAUAUACUUACUUUAAAUAGCUUAUAUAUCGCCGUAGGUUGAAUGUUUUAGAAGAAGAUAAAUAUUCAGAAUGCUUUGAAGGCAGAAAAUCAGGUCAAGAUGUAGUUUAUAGGUAAGAAGAGAUGAGUUACAAUGAUAAUAUUUAAAGGAUUAUUAUUUGAAAUAGUAAUAUAAAGGUGGAUUUGAAGGUAAUUUUAUUAAAAUAAAUAAGAUGAUUUAGGCUCUAAAAUAUGU